rnacentral:lncRNA from 1 species
AGACUGGGAGCCCCAUCAGAAACCUGCUCAGCCAACUCAAGAGAAACCUCUUGAGUCCACCAGCUCAUUUCACAGACGGAGAAACUCAUAGAGGAAGUAAAAUGUCCAAGGUCUCCAAACAUGGAGACUCAGAGCAGAUCAGAUGCAUGCCUGUCGCCUGCCCAGUACCUCCCAGCAUCCUUGAUUCAUUGCUAAUCUGCAUUAGGCUGGACCCUACCUCGCUACUCAACACAGGCUCCAGGAGGCCAAGGGCCACACUUCUCUCCCUAUAUCUAAGUUGUCUCCAUCGCCUUAGAAACCUUCCUUGUUUCCAGGCUGUAAGCUCCAAGGGCAGGGUUGCUGGCUGGUUUGUUGACUGCUUCGUUGGCUUAUGUAGGCGCUCAAGGAAAGAAGGUUGAAUGAAUGAAUUGUGUGUAUAUCUGAACUAUGAUUUGCAUGCCCUCAUGUCCCCAUCUCCUAGCCAGUUGUGUCCUCAUCAUUUCUAGGAAUGAGUGCUUUAGGCCACAGCCUGAAUUUCAACUUCUUUCCCAACUAAUGCUCCUCCAAUCUACCCUGUAAGUCCCCUGUCCCCAGCAUUCUCACAUCCACAUCUGAUCAUGUCAUUUCCCCUCAGUGCUCUCCAUGCCUAGAGGGUCCCCUCUACCUGAGACUGCAGGAGACAGAAGCCUCUCCAGGGACAGGUCCUUACCUGUGUCUCCUGCUUCUUCCCACCGCUGUCCAGCCCUUGAAGCUGAUGCUCCCUGGACACAAUGCAGCAGCCAAAGGCACCAAUAACAGCACCAAGCCUGCCGUGGUUCUGAGACUCCCAAUGACAGCCUGCAGUACCUCCUACCAGCCUGCCACCAGCAUGGGUUUUUGCCACGUCAACGAAAACUUUCAUAAAACGUGUCCCUUUUCAGGUUUAGCUUCAUUCUAAGCAACCAUUUCCUUGAAUCCAGGACUUCGAAGUGCAGGUUAUAUUUCUU